GUCCCCAUAGCUCAAUUGGAUAGAGCGUUGCACUCCUAAGGCAAAGGUCGCAGGUUCAACUCCUGCUGGGGACA
rfam:Parcubacteria bacterium 34_609 MPI_scaffold_14185, whole genome shotgun sequence.